CGGACGGGUGAGUAACGCGUAGGUAUCUAUCCAGUGGUGGGGGGAUAACGGCGGGAAACUGCUGCUAAUACCGCAUGACGACUGAAGGUCCAAAGGCAGCGAUGUCGCCGAUGGAGGAGCCUGCGUUCGAUUAGCUUGUUGGUGGGGUAACGGGCCUACCAAGGCGACGAUCGAUAGCUGGUCUGAGAGGAUGGCCAGCCACAUUGGGACUGAGACACGGCCCAA
rnacentral:rRNA from 1 species